ensembl:lncRNA
GGAUUUUUUUUUAGUUAGCUGCAAGCUGAUUGUUCUUUGAAGCCCAAUCUGAAGCACAAGAUAAACAUUUUUUUACAUCUCCAGCAAUGCUGUUGGUGAAACACGAUUUGCAAGCUACCCAGGAGCUGCAGAACUUGCAACGCAAUCACAGCACACCCGAGUAUGAGGAACAUGGCUGGACUAUGAGGAUAGCUUCAAAGAACAGUCAGUGCCAUGUGGAGAGAAGGUGCUGAGGAGCUGUGUAGAACAACAAAUUCAAAUGGAAAAUGAUUGCAAGGAGGCUUAAAGCCCACAGAGACCUAGCUGCUUCCAAAAGGAUGUCCAGAUGAGGGUUUCUCUGCUGCAGCAACGUCCAUUAAUGCAUCUGGACAAGCAAGGCUUAAACUUUCCACUUUCACUUGGCCAGAAAGACCGACAUCUCCAAGACUGAAAAAAAACUUUAAUAGGAAGAACCAGAGAACUGAAUGAGGCACUACUGGAACAGCUCAAUGCUUGACAGGAAAGCAAAAUGGAUCCAUACUGUGGAGUCAAUAAGAAGCACAGAAGAGCACCUCUGGGGAAAGAUUCAGAGAAUAAGAUGAUUAGAACCAUACCUUGGGGAGUUAAAGGGAGAAAUCCCCAAAUGCCUGGAGAACAAGCUGUUCCCGUCGUGAAGUACCUUAACAUCAAAGUGUGGAUGGGAAGCUCCACAGAGCUUUAGCAGAAUCUUAGAGAGACAGAAGUAGUGCUUUCUGAUAAACAAAUCACAAAACCAAAUAUAUCUACAACAGAAGUUACUGAAGUCCAACCAGUAUAUGACAGCAGACUCUUGAGAAGAACCAGAAGGGAAACCAGCUACAUAUUUUUGGUACAAAUCUACAGGAAAUGUAAGAACUAGCAACAGCUUGAUUACAGCAGUGCUAAGAAGAAAGAUCCAUCUACAGUGCAAGAUCCUCUGAAGGAGCAGCUCACUAAAAAUGCUGCAGUAACUUACUAGCAAUGCUGGAAUAAAAUUAAAAGAACAUUGACAGCCCCAGAGACUGUUUAAAUGGUGUCAGAUGGAAAUCUCUUGUUAAAGAUAAAUACUUGCCACACUGAGUUUAAUAAGUCUAACUCACUAGAGUUAUCAAUGACAUCAAGAAACAGCUCAGUUCCUUACAUAAUAUAUUAUCAAGGCAACAACAAUAAGCUUAGGAAACUGCAG